rnacentral:rRNA from 1 species
CCUACGGGAGGCAGCAGUAGGGAAUAUUGCACAAUGGGCGAAAGCCUGAUGCAGCAACGCCGCGUGAGCGAUGAAGGCCUUCGGGUCGUAAAGCUCUGUCCUCAAGGAAGAUAAUGCCGGUACUUGAGUAGGAAGCCCCGGCUAACUACGUGCCAGCAGCCGGGGUAAUACGUCGGGGGCUAGGUUUAUCCGGAAUUACUGGGCGUAAAGGGUGCGUAGGUGGUUUCUUAAGUCGGAGGUGAAAGGCUACGUCUAAACCGUAGUAAGCAUUUGAAACUGGGGAACUUGAGUGCAGGAGAGGAGAGUGGAAUUCCGAGUGUAGCGGUGAAAUGCGUAGAUAUUAGGAGGAACACCAGUUGCGAAGGCGGCUCUCUGGACUGUAACUGACACUGAGGCACGGAAGCGUGGGGAGCAAACAGGAUUAGAUACCCUUGUAGUC